rnacentral:rRNA from 1 species
AGAGUUUGAUCCUGGCUCAGGAUGAACGCUAGCUACAGGCUUAACACAUGCAAGUCGAGGGGCAGCAUGGUCUUAGCUUGCUAAGGCCGAUGGCGACCGGCGCACGGGUGAGUAACACGUAUCCAACCUGCCGUCUACUCUUGGACAGCCUUCUGAAAGGAAGAUUAAUACAAGAUGGCAUCAUGAGUCCGCAUGUUCACAUGAUUAAAGGUAUUCCGGUAGACGAUGGGGAUGCGUUCCAUUAGAUAGUAGGCGGGGUAACGGCCCACCUAGUCUUCGAUGGAUAGGGGUUCUGAGAGGAAGGUCCCCCACAUUGGAACUGAGACACGGUCCAAACUCCUACGGGAGGCAGCAGUGAGGAAUAUUGGUCAAUGGGCGAGAGCCUGAACCAGCCAAGUAGCGUGAAGGAUGACUGCCCUAUGGGUUGUAAACUUCUUUUAUAAAGGAAUAAAGUCGGGUAUGCAUACCCGUUUGCAUGUACUUUAUGAAUAAGGAUCGGCUAACUCCGUGCCAGCAGCCGCGGUAAUACGGAGGAUCCGAGCGUUAUCCGGAUUUAUUGGGUUUAAAGGGAGCGUAGAUGGAUGUUUAAGUCAGUUGUGAAAGUUUGCGGCUCAACCGUAAAAUUGCAGUUGAUACUGGAUAUCUUGAGUGCAGUUGAGGCAGGCGGAAUUCGUGGUGUAGCGGUGAAAUGCUUAGAUAUCACGAAGAACUCCGAUUGCGAAGGCAGCUUGCUGGACUGUAACUGACGCUGAUGCUCGAAAGUGUGGGUAUCAAACAGGAUUAGAUACCCUGGUAGUCCACACAGUAAACGAUGAAUACUCGCUGUUUGCGAUAUACAGUAAGCGGCCAAGCGAAAGCGUUAAGUAUUCCACCUGGGGAGUACGCCGGCAACGGUGAAACUCAAAGGAAUUGACGGGGGCCCGCACAAGCGGAGGAACAUGUGGUUUAAUUCGAUGAUACGCGAGGAACCUUACCCGGGCUUAAAUUGCAGAUGAAUUACGGUGAAAGCCGUAAGCCGCAAGGCAUCUGUGAAGGUGCUGCAUGGUUGUCGUCAGCUCGUGCCGUGAGGUGUCGGCUUAAGUGCCAUAACGAGCGCAACCCUUGUUGUCAGUUACUAACAGGUUCUGCUGAGGACUCUGACAAGACUGCCAUCGUAAGAUGUGAGGAAGGUGGGGAUGACGUCAAAUCAGCACGGCCCUUACGUCCGGGGCUACACA